GGCCUGGUAGUGUAAUGGUAACACAUCUUUCCUUCCUAUCAUUUUCAGGUUAGAGAAAAUUCAAAAGAAGUAUCCCGUUCGAUUCGGGGCCAGGCCA